AGUACUUCUACUUCAUCCUUCAAGGAGAGUACAACAUCUGACUCUGCAUUGGAGGAGAGCACUGUGUGGCGUGAUCCAGUGCUACCGUUUAA